AAUGGGUUGCUUGGUGGUAGACUGAAACUGUAGACGCUGGCUUAUGGAAAUAAUGAGCAAUGGCAGUUCACAAAUGGCGAGAAGUGGCCGGCUUCUGGGAUAAUGAGCAAUGGCUGGCCGAUUGAUGGUCGGCCAACUAAGUGGUGAAGUCCGACUGGGGUGCAAGUCGGCGACGGUGACGGGUAGGAGGGAACGGGCGACUGGACAUCGUGGGUAUUGACGGGGUGAGCUGCUGGUCGUGGGGAGUGACAGGAUGAGUUAGGGCUCGGGUUGGGAAAUUGAUUUGGGUAGUGAGAUAGGGGUUGGGUUGGGCCGGCGAUUGGUGUAAUGGGCUAAUGUGGGUGUGGGCUGGGUAAUUGGUUUGUAUGGUAAUUGGGUCUUAUGGGCUUGGAGUAUAAGUAGAGUUGGAAUAAUGAAUCAAUGGGCUGCUGUAAUUGGGUUAGGGAUAUGGGCUUG
rnacentral:lncRNA from 1 species